ensembl:lncRNA
UCAUUGUAUAGAAGAUUAUUUCCAGUCUUGCUAAAGAUAUAUUGUAAAUAAUGUUAUAACGCACUAGGAUUAUCUUUAUUAAACUCCACCUACCCUCAUGUUGUGUCUGUGGAGCCUCAGAACUGAGGCUCUGACCUGCAGUCCGCUCAGAAGUUUUCUCCUCCUUUAGCUUCUUCAGUACGUUCCCCAGAGGUACAUAAUCUUCAUCAUCCUCAUCAUCAGAUCUGUUCAGAACUGGGGAGACAUAAAAUGGUAGAUGAUAAAUGGUAAAAGGGAAUCUGACAGAAUCUAUUGGUCACAUGAGACUUGAUUUAAAUUAAUUCCAUUAUGUUCACACCUCGGUGUAGAUUAUAUAAAAUGAUGUUAAUUACUUGUAAUAUAUAAAACAGUUUAAUGUGUAAUUUGUCACGUUUAACGAGGCGUCACCUGCUCUUCUUUUCCCCUUAUUGAUGCUUCUAGAACGGUUCUUAUUGGCCGAGGCUUUCUUUGAUGAGCGAGUUUUUGCUACUUUGGACAAGGGCUCAUCAUCUGAG